rnacentral:rRNA from 1 species
GCGAGCUCGGAUGAUCUAGCCAUGCGAGUCAUUGUAGCAUACAUGGCGUACUGCUCAGUAACACGUGGACAACCUACCCUCAGGUCGGGGAUAAACCCGGGAAACUGGGUAUAAUACCCGAUAGUCCUCGACUGCUGGAAUGCAUCGAGAACUAAAGCUCCGGCGCCUGAGGAUGGGUCUGCGGCCUAUCAGGUAGUAGUGGGUGUAGUGUACCUACUAGCCUACGACGGGUACGGGUUGUGAGAGCAAGAGCCCGGAGAUGGAUUCUGAGACACGAAUCCAGGCCCUACGGGGUGCAGCAGGCGCGAAAACUUUACAAUGCCGGCAACGGCGAUAAGGGGACCUCGAGUGCCAGGUUACAAAUCUGGCUGUCGUGAUGCCUAAAAAGCAUUGCAUAGCAAGGGCCGGGCAAGACCGGUGCCAGCCGCCGCGGUAACACCGGCGGCUCGAGUGGUAACCGUUAUUAUUGGGUCUAAAGGGUCUGUAGCCGGCCGGAUAAGUCUCUUGGGAAAUCCAGCAGCUCAACUGUUGGGCUUUCAGGAGAUACUGUCUGGCUCGAGGCCGGGAGAGGUGAGAGGUACUUCAGGGGUAGGGGUGAAAUCUUGUAAUCCUUGAAGGACCACCAGUGGCGAAGGCGUCUCACCAGAACGGACCUGACGGCAAGGGACGAAAGCUAGGGGCACGAACCGGAUUAGAUACCCGGGUAGUCCUAGCCGUAAACGAUACUCGCUAGGUGUCGGCCACGGUGCGACCGUUGUCGGUGCCGUAGGGAAGCCGUGAAGCGAGCCACCUGGGAAGUACGGCCGCAAGGCUGAAACUUAAAGGAAUUGGCGGGGGAGCACCACAACGGGUGGAGCUUGCGGUUUAAUUGGAGUCAACGCCGGG